CUGAUUGAUACUGUCAGCGGUAUAUGCUCAGUUAAAAGAUUAAGCCAUGCAUGUCGUGUUCAACUUUAAAGUGAAACUGCGAACGGCUCAUUAGAACAGAUGUAAUUUAUUCGGAAUUAUUCGAAUGGAUAACUGCGGUAAUUCUGGAGCUAAUACAUGCGAUAAAACCUUGACUUUUGAAAGGGUGAAAUUAUUAGAGCAAAUCAGUGAUCUUCGGAUGUAUAGUAUGCUGACUCUAAAUAACGCAGCAUAUCGGCGGCAUAGUUCGCCGAUAUUCCGAAAAAGUAUCUGCCCUAUCAACCUGAUGGUAGUCUAUUAGUCUACUAUGGUUAUUACGUGUAACGGAGAAUGGGGUUCGACUCCGGAGAGGGAGCCUUAGAAACGGCUACCACGUCCAAGGAAGGCAGCAGGCUCGAAACUUGUCCAAUCUUGAAGAGAUGAGAUAGUGACUAAAAAUAAAAAGAUCAUUCCUAUGGAACGGUUAUUCCAAUGAGUUUAGAGGUAAGCUGCAAAGUUAGAGGAAAGUGGAAAGUGUCAUUCACCACAUCGACAAGAUAUAUA
rnacentral:ncRNA from 1 species